GGUUUAAUAUUCAAAUAUGAUUUUAAAUUGCAAAUUUGAAGGUGAUGUAUAUCUUAAACCU
rnacentral:tRNA from 1 species